rnacentral:lncRNA from 1 species
GAGGAGCACAGGAUGCUGUGGAGCCUGGCAAAGGCAAAGAAGAGAGCUUUCUGGACUCUCUCUGGCAGCCCUGCUGGCAUCUUGACUUUGUCCACUGAGAUCCAUUUCAGACUUCUGAACUAUGGAAGUUUUAAUUGUGGAUUUUCCCUCUCUUUCCACCUAAUUGGCAAUGAUCAGAUGUGUGGCAACAUACUGAUGGAUGACACCUACCUGGCGGUGAGGGGGACCACCCACCCUCGUUGUUGCUGGAACUGGAGAACUGGUCCAGCCUCCUUGAAGCACAACUCGGUGAGAUGUAUCAACACUCGCUGGGUGAAAAGCCUUGGACUCAGCCCCUCCUCCUAUUUACCUGCAUAUUCUCACACCUGUGAAAUAACCCAAAGGCAAGCGGUGGAGUUUACUAACAAAAGAGUAGAAACAGCAUAAGUGUCCGUGCAGGGUCUGUCGAUUGUAUAGAUUGCAAUACAGCCGCAAAAUGGAACACUAUGGAGCUAUUUAGAAAGUCAGCUCGCUCUUUAUGUACUGGCAUGGAAUGAUUUCUGAGAUGUUUUUUGAAGACAAUGAGUCCAGGUGGAGGAACGAGUGAGUAGCAGGCUAUCACCUGUGUCAGGAAGGGAUGGAGAGGUUCCAUGUGUAUUUUCCCAUCUGUGGAUGGCCUGUCUGUGGAGGUGACACAAGGAACGUGAUGUGGUUUGUCUUUGAGGAGAAUAACGAGAAGCUCUGAGGAUGCUGGCAGGGGGCGUUUUCAUUACCCUCCUACCUUUCACUUAAUGCCUUAAAUUCUUCUGGAAAACCAUGCUGUUAGGUUAAAAGCCAUUACACCAAAAUUAUUUUCAUUGUUUUUAAUGGCGAAUCAUAACGUCCUCCAUCGUGACCCAAGACAGCAAUUUGCACAGUUGAAAAAACAUUUCGAUGGAAUAUUGGAAACAAUUUUAGAUAUGUAGUAAACGACAGUAAAGAAAUGCCAUUUUCAUGUACAAAUGUAAGGAAGGUUUACUCCCUGAGGAGGAGGAAGAGGAAACUUGAGGAGGAGGUGGGUGAGGAAGAGCCCUGGGGGUCCUUCUGGGGAAGGGGCCCUCUUUCUGUACCAUUUUCUUCAUCCAUUUUCAACCAUUUUGAGUCUUGUAGUUAUUUUGUCCCCAAAUGCCGCUUAAAAAUAAAGUUCUAUUGCAGGAAAGCAUCCUUAGGGCAAAAUCAAGGCUACACACGAGAAGGUUGGAGAUGCGAGAAGACAGCGCCCCAGGGCCGGAGA